rnacentral:rRNA from 1 species
CCACCUGAUCCCAUGCCGAACUCAGAAGUGAAACGCAGUAGCGCCGAUGGUAGUGUGGGGUUUCCCCAUGUGAGAGUAGGUCACCGCCAAGC